UACGAAGGGGGCUAGCGUUGUUCGGAUUUACUGGGCGUAAAGCGAACGUAGGCGGAUCGUUAAGUCGGGGGUGAAAUCCUGGAGCUCAACUCCAGAACUGCCUUCGAUACUGGCGAUCUUGAGUCCGGAAGAGGUGAGUGGAACUCCUAGUGUAGAGGUGGAAUUCGUAGAUAUUAGGAAGAACACCAGUGGCGAAGGCGGCUCACUGGUCCGGUACUGACGCUGAGGUGCGAAAGCGUGGGGAGCAAACAGG
rnacentral:rRNA from 1 species